rnacentral:tRNA from 1 species
GCACCUAUAGCUCAAUUGGAUAGAGCAUUUCUUUGCGGAAGAAAAGGUUCCAGGUUCGAAUCCUGGUAGGUGCG